GGUGUUACUUUGUCUAGCUUCCGCCUGUUCAUGGCCUCUCCAGAGGAGCUCACAAACAGAGGCAACUAUGCUAACAGGAAAGCCAUCUGCAUGAAUAACAGAAAAAAAAGAAGACCUCCUGGUGUGGACCCAGAAAGAGAGAUUUUCACAGCAAGAAAUAACAAAUGGCAGAAAAGGAAAAGCUGAGAAGUUUUCAGUUAGAACAAAAAAGCUGGCGGUACUUCGUAUAAAUGAAUCCGCAGGUGUCAUCAAGAGAACCAUCUCUGGGCCCAAAGCACAGAGAUACAACCCCAGAGUAUACAUGGGAAGUGAGGGCAAACAGCAGAGGUUUCCGAAGUCCGUUUAAUGUGAGGUUUCCCUGCUUGAGAAGAAGAGGCUUUUCUAAUAACACAAUCAAAACAUGCAAAUACAACAUCUUGACGUUCCUGCCUCUAAACUUGUUUGAACAAUUCCAGAGAGUUGCCAACUUCUAUUUUCUCCUUAUUGUCAUUCUGCAGAGUGUGCCAGCCAUCUCUACUCUUCCAUGGUACACAACAAUGCUUCCCCUGUUGACUGUGCUGUUUGUAAGGGCUGCCAAAGACAUCUCUGAUGACUUGGCACGCCGCAGAAGUGACAAAGAAAUCAACACCAGGCCUUGUGAUAUCCUCCAAGGAGGAAGCUUUAAGGCUGAACAAUGGAGACAUAUCCAUGUAGGAGAUAUUGUACGCAUAAGAAAAGACCAAAUCAUUCCGGCUGAUCUCCUGCUGCUGGCGAGUACUGAACCACACAGUCUUUGUUAUGUUGAAACUGCUGACAUAGAUGGGGAAACUAAUCUGAAGUACCGUCAGGCUCUGCAUUGCACUCAUUCCAGGCUCCAGACUGAGGGCCAGUUAUCAGACUUCGAUGGUUUGGUGACCUGUGAAGAGCCCAACAGUCUGCUGCACUCUUUUUCCGGGACUCUACACUGGAUGGGGGAACAGUACCCCUUGAGCAAUGACCGCAUUCUCCUACGUGGAUUCCGACUCCGCAAUACACAUACUUGCUAUGGCCUGGUGUUAUUUGCAGGCCCAGAUUGCAAAAUUAUGCGUAACUGUGGCCUCUUUACUGUGAAGAAGACCCAGAUUGAAAUCCUGUUGAACCGCAUCGUCAUACUGAUACUAACAUCCUUGGCAGUUACAGCCACACUCUUGGCUGUAGGCUGUGGUGUAUGGGAUGCUCGGAAGGGCAGAUCAAGCGAGUUCAUUGCUGCAACUUCCCGUGGAGAUUCGUCUCUUUACAUGGGCUUCCUGACAUUUUGGGGUUACAUCAUCAUUUUAAGCCCAGUUAUGCCAAUGUCUCUGUACAUCACUUUUGAGUUCAUCCACGUGGUGCACAGUCUUUUCAUAGACUGGGAUCUUGACAUGUACUUCAUUGAGAAGGACACCCCUGCCCGGGCACGGAACACUGCCCUCAAUGAACAGCUUGGCCAAAUUGAAUUCCUCUUCUCUGACAAGACAGGAACCCUAACACAGAAUAUCCUGACAUUCAAGAAGUGUUGUGUCUCAGGUGUAAUUUAUGGAAAUAAACAAAUCUACAGUGAAACCACUCAGCCCAUUGACCUUCAAUGGAAUCCUUUUGCUGAUGGAAAGCUGAGUUUCAGUGACCAGGUGCUUGUAGACAGGCUAAGGAGUGGGGAAGACAGAAGUCUUACUGAGUUCUUUCGAGUACUGGCUGUUUGUCACACAGUCAUGGCAGAGGAAGUUGACGGAGAUCUGCGAUACCAAGCUGCAUCACCAGAUGAAGAAGCUCUGGUAACAGCAGCCCGUAAUUUUGGCUUUGUUUUUAUGUCCCGAACCCAGGACUCGGUGACAGUCAGUGAACUUGGCAAAAUUCGUGUAUAUGAUCUACUGGCCAUCUUAGAUUUUAGUAGCCAGAGGCGCAGAAUGUCUGUCCUUGUGCGUGAACCCAGUGGCAAAAUAAAGCUUUUCUGCAAAGGUGCUGAUAUAGUCAUUUUUGAAAGGCUAGAAACCAAGUGUUUAUAUCUGGAUGCCACAGAGAAAGCUCUGGAGGAAUUUGCAAAGGACAGUCUACGCACAUUGUGUUUGGCCAGCAAGAAUGUCCCAGAGGAGUUCUAUCAGAGCUGGAGUAAGGAGUUCCUCAGUGCUACAAUGGCAAUGCAGAACAAAGAAGCCAAGCUGGAAGCAGUUUAUGAAAAGAUGGAGCAAGAGCUCACUCUACUGGGAGCCACAGCAAUUGAAGACAAACUGCAGGAUGGGGUUCCUGACACCAUCCACAUUCUAAAAAAAGGUGGAAUCAAGAUAUGGAUGCUCACAGGAGACAAGCAAGAGACAGCAGUGAACAUUGGAUACUCAUGCAAACUACUGGACAAUAACAUGGAAAUUCUGGAAGGUGCAACACUCAGGGACCUACUGUGGACACCACAAAUAAAUAACAACACUUCUGGGUUAAAGAAUGAAGAGUGGUUGAACUCUCAUCUGAAGAAUAUGCAAGCAACUAGACAAGCUCUAGUCAUUACUGGACAAGACCUAGAUGAGAUCUUUCAGCAAGAUUCACAGAUAGCAUCCUGUACAAAACAAGCAGGGAUACUUCAGCAUUUUGUUGAACUGGCUAGCAAAUGUGAAACGGUAAUCUGUUGCAGAGUAACCCCUCUUCAGAAAGCCAAUGUGGUGGAAGCAGUGAAGAGGCAACAGAAAGCAAUCACCCUUGCCAUUGGAGAUGGAGCCAAUGAUGUCAAUAUGAUCAAGAGGGCUCACAUUGGAAUUGGCAUCAGUGGGCAGGAGGGUCUCCAGGCAGUCCAGUGCAGUGAUUUUUCCUUGGCACAGUUCCGAUAUCUACAACGCCUUCUGCUGGUUCAUGGCCGCUGGUCCUAUCUGCGAGUCUGCAAGUUUCUCAACUACUUUCUCUUCAAGACCUUCUCUUUCAGUUUUGUUCACAUUUGGUUUUCCUUCUUCAAUGGCUUCACGUCACAGCCAGCAUAUGAAAACUGGUUUAUCACACUGUACACUGUGAUGUAUACUUCACUGCCUGUCCUAAGCAUGGCCUUGUUGGAUCAGGAUGUGAGCUGUCAUGCCAGCCUGAAGAAGCCAAAGCUCUACUGGAUUGGACAGGAGCAGCAGCUGUUUAACCUCCGAGUGUUUGCAGUAACCGUGCUUCAAGCCUUGCUCACCUCCCUCACACUCUUUUUCAUUCCUUAUGGUGCCUUCUACAACACUGCCUAUGAUUUUCAGACCUUCUCUGUCACUGUGGGAACGUCCGCCGUGUUUACAGUCACUGCAGAGAUCAUUCAGAGGAUCACAUAUUGGACUCGUUUCAAUGUCCUGGCCAUCGCCCUCUGCCUUAUUCUCUAUUUCAUUAUGACCUUCAUACUGCAAAGUGCUCAUUUGUACAGGGUGGCUCCACAAGACUUCUCCUUCCCAGGGGCUGCUUACAAUGCAUUUUCACAUCCGUACGUCUGGCUAACCAUUCUGCUCACUGUGGUCGUCAGCAUUCUACCUGCACUUAUUGUGAGAGCCUUGAACAAAGCACUAAGAAGCCCGGACUUGCAUCGGGUGCACAACUCAGAUAUGCAGGUAUCUUACCUGAAUGAAGUGGAGUUCCGCCAGUUCUUCCACGGUGUUCCUCCUCGUCGCCGUUCCUCUUAUGCUUUCUCACAGCAUCAUGGUUUUGGUGACCUUGUGACUACCAUGAACAGCAGAGAGACAAGGUCCUGCGAAGGAGUGAAGACAAUCCCUUCUCUUGGCUGAUCAACAGCACUGAAAUUCCAGGACAAAAGCUGAACAUCUUUCUUAGGAUCUCAAGGAACAGCAAAGGACUGCCAGAGGAGAGAAGUAUCAUCUUAGCACUUUGCUUUGUUUUCUAACAAUCCUUUUUACAUUUAUGUGUUUUUGCACAAAAACAGAACAAACACCCUUUGCCUGAAAAUGUACUAAUUUGGGAAAAAUUACAGGAGAAGAUAUACAUAAAAUAUCUUAGAAGGACUUCAUACAAGUCAUGUUAAAUGUCUAGUUUAGGAAUUUCAAAAAAUCCUACAUGGAAGUUUCAUACUGUAGGAUUGUUUAAAGCUAAACAGUAAAGCGUUCAUUAACAGCAGACAGCAACCCCCUAUGGGGCUCAGGUGAUUCAGAUGUACACUCCAUUGAGUACACUUAGAUGAUAUGUAGGCAAUGCCAAGACAUGAUGGAUACAGAAAAGGAAACAGAAUAAUUCAUUAAAUAUUUCAUAGUCUUCAGAACUGAUAUAACACUUACAGUGCAGAGUUAGCAAGUGUAAAUUACGAGAGGAAGAUAACAAGCAAGUUGAGGUUAUUUUAUAAAAAUAAUUUGGGAGGCACAUACAUUUAUACAUUAUACCUACAUUUUAUAAAGUAUUUAGGUGUUUUUUAUGACACAGUGUUCUCAUGGUAGAACCGAUUUCAAAUUGGUAAAUUAAAUUUUACGCAAUACAGUAAAAUCGAUUGAUGCCUUGCCCAAACUCUAAAAUGCAGUCAUGAAACCAAAAUGACAAUUUCUCAACAUCACGCAAGAAAAAAGAUAAAGUGGCACUCGAGCAGCUACAAUAAUAACUAAAGAGCAAAAGUAACGAGUGUGUAAUUGAAGUCAAAAGGAUAUCUGCUCAAAUGAGAAUGGAAUAUAAUUUCUGGUGACUUAAGCUUUGCCAAAUUAAUUAAAAAUAGUAGUAGGCAUCAGCAAACAAAUCCAGUGUAAUCCAUUUAGCUAAAUAGUCAAAAUACUUAAAGAUAUCAGAGGUGACUUAAGGAAAGUUUCUAACCAACCAGCCUUUAUUUUAAAUAGAACCUUUCAAUAGUGAACAACAUCCCAAGGCACUUUACAAGUACAGCUACAUUGCACAACUGUUUACACAUAUCAUAUAAGAGGGAGAGAGAGAAGUUAGAAGGACACACUGAUACAGCGCAUUGCAGCACCCACCACAUGACAGACCAACUCAGGAUCCCAGAUUAGGACCCAAGUGCAGCCAUGUGACGGGUGACACCUCAGCACCACACCUUUUCAGAUGGAAUGGAACCAGUGUGAGGUUUUUAAUGGUGGCUGGAGUGCCAAUUCUGCCACCAACUCCCAGGUUUUUCCCCGCAGGUUGGAGUGCCAAUAUUAGAAUAUUAGGUAUACUAUAAAUGACCCAGAAGAUCAUUCUAUUGGACUAGAGUGCUUCAAAAAUGUACAAUGUUAUUGUUGAAGCAAUAACAACUUGAAUGAUCACAAUAGAAAUGAUCCAGAUAGUCAAAAUUCUCUAGUCUCAUUUAUGAAAUGUCAUCUGUUAGAAAAUAUUACUGACACAACUGGUAUAAGCAGUCUAUUUUUAUUUGAUUGCUUUGUGGAUGUUUCUUCACAUUAAGCCAAUGUACAAAUAUAGGAUAAGAUAUUAGAGAAAUAAUUUUCCUGCCUUUCUAAAUAAUACUAAGGUCUGUGCAUUCAGUAAAAGCACAAUGUUGUUUUACUGUCUUUUGCAUUUCCACAAAUAAUGCAUAUUUCAUAUACUUUCAAGAAGACUAUUAAAGGUGAAAGACAUAUUUUUAUUUGACCAGUCAAAAUC